ACGCUCGACACCUACGGGAGGCAGCAGUGAAGAAUAUUGCGCAAUGGGGGCAACCCUGACGCAGCAACGCCGCGUGAAGGAUGAAGGUUUUCGGAUUGUAAACUUCUUUUGUCAAGGACGAAGGACGUGACGGUACUUGACGAAUAAGCCACGGCUAACUACGUGCCAGCAGGCGGUAAUCUGAGCGGGCUGGCAAGGC
rnacentral:rRNA from 1 species